AACGAACGCUGGCGGCAUGCCUAACACAUGCAAGUCGAACGAGACCUUCGGGUCUAGUGGCGCACGGGUGCGUAACGCGUGGGAACCUGCCCUUAGGUUCGGAAUAACUCCCCGAAAGGGGUGCUAAUACCGGAUAAUGUCUUCGGACCAAAGAUUUAUCGCCUUUGGAUGGGCCCGCGUUGGAUUCGCUAGUUGGUAGGGUAAAAGCCUACCAAGGCGACGAUCCAUAGCUGGUCUGAGAGGAUGAUCAGCCACACUGGGACUGAGACACGGCCCAGACUCCUACGGGAGGCAGCAGUGGGGAAUAGUGGACAAUGGGCGAAAGCCUGAUCCAGCAAUGCCGCGUGAGUGAUGAAGGCCUUAGGGUUGUAAAGCUCUUUUACCCGGGAUGAUAAUGACAGUACCGGGAGAAUAAGCUCCGGCUAACUCCGUG
rnacentral:rRNA from 1 species